AAUUUCAAACCAUUCACAAAAUCUAAUAGUAAAAAUCAAUAAUUGCAUGAUCAAUUAAAUUAGGAAUGCAAAAAUAAAAACAAAAUAAAUUCAAUUAAUGGGUGCCAACAAAGUUAGUAAAUAACAUAUCAUGUAAUAUUUUAUCAACAACCGUAUAUCUUAGAUCUUUUGCUAGUUUAAGAAAUCCUUCUUGCUUGUAGUGAAUUACUUAACUUGUUUUGGUCAUGUACUCCAAGGAAUUACCGCAUCAUUUUCAAGAAUACAAUAACAUUUGUAAUUGAUACAUAAUGCAAUCCGAGGAGGCACACACUUAAUUUUGUCUCCACAAUCCAAGUCAUUAUGACAGUCAUGAGUUGCUGUGAUAAAAAAAAAUAUUACAAAUUUUACUAAUCAAAAGGUUUGUAAUAUUAUGAAGCCCGGAUACGGACACCGAACACGACACAGACACUGACACGCCGACACAGCUAAUAAUUUUAAAAAAAUAGCAUAAUUCAGUGUAAUUACAAGUGUCGGUGUCGGACACGUGUCCGACAGCGGGACACACCUAAUCCAAGGAGUGUCCGUGCAUAUAGGUAAUAAGUAAAGAUGAGACUUUAAAAGACGGCUUAUAGUCAGUGCUUGUAAGGGGAAAUGGCUUACUUGCAACAAGAUACAGAGAAAGGAAGAGAAUCAUAAAAUAAACAAACUUCAUAAGUUUAGCCAUAUAUUGCUC
rnacentral:lncRNA from 1 species